GAGAGGAACCAGGGGAAACCCUAAACAUGUUAAAACAAAAAUUGUAGAUGCGCGCCUCACACUCAAACCUAAAUUCUUCCCCGCCCCCACCACCACUCAGUAGAUGCACGCUCACUCUCAACCCUAAAACAUUCUCAAACCUAAAGCGCUCACUUCGCUGCUCCACGGCGCCAAGGUCACGGUAAAAGCCAUGGAGCCCAGUAUCGUGCGCGAGAUUGACGCCAUGCGCCGCCUCCAGCACCACCCUAACAUCGUGGACUUCGCCGGCGGCGGUGAGCUCUUCUCCAAGCUAUCCCGAGGCUGCCUCCCAAAGUCCCUCGUGCACCGCUACUUCACGCAGCUCGUCUCCGCGCUCUGCUUCUGUCGUCGAGAAGAAGGUGAAGGAGGUUGGAUUGAAUUUGGGAUUUAGGGUUGAGGUUGGGAAGCUUCUCCAGACUCCACCUCUGCGCUUCGCCUUUAGGGUUGAACAAGUUUAUUUGAAGUUGUUGAUCGACGAGCGAAGGCUGUUGCUGAGGAGCAGUCUGAUUUUAAGACUCCAGAGAAAACCAGGAGGAUCAUAAAACUGACAACUCCCCCAAAAAAGUACAGGAUCAACUUGAGGAGUUGGUACAUAGGCUCAAGGAUUGCUAAAAACAACAAAAUCUACUUGUCAGUCUAAAGAAGCAAGGUUAGCUCGGGUUUGUGCUGGAUUAUCAUCCCGCCUUCAAGAAUACAAAUCUGAAAAUGCACAGUUGGAGGAACUUCUUGUUGCAGAGGUGAAACAUUAUCACUAUCUCCUGUUCAAAGGAAUAAAAGGUCUCAUCAUAUGCUUGAAAUAGAAACAUAUUGACUAUUGUAUCAAUUAAUUAUUUCUAAAUCUAUAGAGAGCUGAGUAAAUCAUACGAGGCUAGCAUAAAACAGCUACAGAAUGAUUUGUCUGAAGGUAAAAGGGAGGUGACAAGAGUUGAAUCAAAUAUGGUUGAGGCCUUGGCAGCAAAAAAUGCUGAAAUUGAGGCACUGCUAAGUUUUAUGGAAGCGGUUAAGAGGCAGGCUGCAUUGUCAGAAGGAAGUCUAGCUUCCAUGCAGGUUCCUCUUAGUUAAUUUAUUGAAGCGUGCCCUACAGUAUUUUAUUUGCUUCCAUGCAACUUCUGUUUCUACCUAAACUAUUU